AAUUCCUCUCCCAACAAACAACACCUUCUGAAAUCUGCAGGUUAUCUCAACAUUAGUGAGAUAUUAACGUGACAUUUCCUGCUUUUCAUUCCUGACAUCCUACAAACAAACAAACAAACACAAUCUCUGGUUGUUCGCUGCAGUUUUGCAACACACGCUGCUCAGUGUGUGCGAUGAUCGUGGCUGCAGGGAAUCCUGGACGGAGCUUUAAAACCUGCUGAGCGGUGAUUUAUGACACAGGUGUCUCUUGAGAGUAAAAUGAUGCUUCCCAACCAGAUAAACUCUCCAAUUAUAGGUUAAAACAUUUUGUAGCACCAACAACUCACCCGGACUUUACUGGAUUCCGGAGAGGAUGGCAACUCUUUUGUAGACCCUCUUCAUCUCCUUUUUGAUCCACUCUUUAAACGUAAGAAAAAAAGCACGAUAUUAAAGACAAUAACAUCGUUAAUCAUGUUCUAUACAACUUUAUACAACUGUUUUGUUUUGUCGAGAUUAUGAAAUGUGUGUCAAGAUGUUCAAAUAGAUCACCAAGCAGGGAAGUGUUGCGUAGAUAUGCACAUGGUUUUUCCGUUCACGCAUUCUGAAGCGUGAAAGGAAAGAUAUGAUCAUAAAGCAGAGAGGAAGCUUAAGCUAUGCUAACAUGUUAAACUGAUUAAAUAACUGUGGCAUACUUCCUGUGCCAAAGCAGCGCUGCAGAGAUGAGGCCGAUUGUUGAUCAGGUGAUAUGUGAGCACUGAAGGAGUGCUUUCAGCAGAAUUACUUUUGGCUUGCUCAAGAAUACCAUACAAGCAGUUUUUACUGGAGAAAUCUGAACAUCAGGUUUCCUUUC